rnacentral:rRNA from 1 species
CCAGACUCCUACGGGAGGCAGCAGUGGGGAAUAUUGGGCAAUGGGCGCAAGCCUGACCCAGCAACGCCGCGUGAAGGAAGAAGGCUUUCGGGUUGUAAACUUCUUUUCUCAGGGACGAAUAGAUGACGGUACCUGAGGAAUAAGCCACGGCUAACUACGUGCCAGCAGCCGCGGUAAUACGGAGGAUGCGAGCGUUAUCCGGAUUUAUUGGGUUUAAAGGGUGCGUAGGCGGAAUGCCAAGUCAGCGGUAAAAUCGUGGAGCUCAACUCCAUCCAGCCGUUGAAACUGAUGAUCUUGAGUGGGCGAGAAGUAUGCGGAAUGCGUGGUGUAGCGGUGAAAUGCAUAGAUAUCACGCAGAACUCCGAUUGCGAAGGCAGCAUACCGGCGCCCGACUGACGCUGAAGCACGAAAGCGUGGGUAUCGAACAGGAUUAGAUACCCUAGUA